rnacentral:lncRNA from 1 species
GGGAAAAAAUGAGAUCAAUUGUUAUUAGAGAAAGAAAGGGAGAGCCCCAGAUGAAUACAAAGGGGCACAAGGCAAGGUUUAGAGAUGAUGGACAUGUACAUAUAUAUCUUUUUUUUUUCUUUUCUUUUUUUUUUUUCCAGUAUGGGGGAUCGAACUUGUGUCCUUGCACUUGCGCAGCAGGAGGCGAAACCACUAAGCUAAAUCCCCGGCCCUACAUAUAUCUUGAUUUAGUGGUUACAUGACUGUGUUUUUGUCUAGAUUCACUAAACUAUAUAUUUUAGAAGGUAAAUUUUCUUUUAUACAAAUUAUAAAUCAAUAAACCUGAAUAAAAAGUUAGAAAACUUUAGUAACAGACUUACAGAAAAUCAAGGAUAAAGAGAAAAUCCUAAACUUUACCAAAAGAAAAGAUACAUGACUACCUAUUUUUUAAAAACUAGCUGAGGGUCGGGGCCACGCUUUCUCAGAGAGUCGGAGUGCCUUCGUGGUUGCUAAGCAGUCUUGGAUACCUGGCUGCAGGAUGCUGGGAGACAUCAGGUGAAGAUGGUGGUCACUGGACCUCAGGACCUUGCGUUUUUGAGGCAGGCAGCGGAACCACUGAGGCAACCAUGGAGAAGGAUGUUUGGAGCACCAUUCUUAUCAAUGCAUACAAAAAGGAGUUUGAAGUCCUAAAGAAGUACCUGGACAGUGGCGGAGAUAUCCUUGUGAUGCUAGGAGAAGGUGGAGAAUCCAGAUUUGACACCAAUAUUAACUUUCUACUAGAAGAAUAUGGAAUCAUGGUUAAUAAUGAUGCUGUGGUUAGAAAUGUGUAUUACAAGUAUUUUCAUCCUAAGGAAGCUCUGGUUUCCAGUGGAGUUUUGAACAGGGAAAUUAGUCGAGCUGCAGGAAAGGCUGUGCCUGGAAUCAUUGAUGAGGAGACCAGCGGAAACAAUGCCCAAACCAAGGUGGGAAGCUGGCAGUGCUUGGUUCAUGUCACAUGUUCAGUGACCAAUAUUUGGAUAAAGAAGAAAAGAGCAAAAUUAUGGAUGUUGUUUUCCAGUGGCUCACAACAGGAGACAUCCAUCUGA